rnacentral:lncRNA from 1 species
GUAAACGUUAAAUCCGAUGCCUCGUGCAUGUGGAGAGAGUACCGCGCUCUCUUCACAUUGAGAACCCUAACAACAGCUCUAUGAAUGUACAUUCGUGGCCUGUUGUCAGAUAAACUUUUGUCACUAUCCCAUAUGCUCUCAUUUUCCAAAGGCAAUUCAUCCCGGACCCCAAUAUUACAAAACAUACCUAUCGUUUUUAUUGUGAUUUGUUUUUGUCCUGAACAUGCACGAAAUAUUCACCAAUACAGGGGGGGGGGGGGGGGGGGGUUGUCUCCUCAAACAUUUUUCCUUCUUAACAUCAGUUCAUAAAAUAAAAUCCACAAACAC